rnacentral:rRNA from 1 species
UACGUAGGGUGCGAGCGUUAAUCGGAAUUACUGGGCGUAAAGGGUGCGCAGGCGGUUAUAUAAGACAGAUGUGAAAUCCCCGGGCUCAACCUGGGAACUGCGGUUUGUGACUGUAUGACUAGAGUACGGUAGAGAGGGGUGGAAUUCCUGGUGUAGCAGUGAAAUGCGUAGAUAUCAGGAGGAACAUCGAUGGCGAAGGCAGCCCCUUGGACCUGUACUGACGCUCAUGCACGAAAAGCGUGGGGAGCAAACAGG